rnacentral:rRNA from 1 species
AGCGAACGCUGGCGGCAGGCCUAACACAUGCAAGUCGAACGAACCCUUCGGGGUUAGUGGCGGACGGGUGAGUAACACGUGGGAACGUGCCUUUAGGUUCGGAAUAACUCAGGGAAACUUGUGCUAAUACCGAAUGUGCCCUUCGGGGGAAAGAUUUAUCGCCUUUAGAGCGGCCCGCGUCUGAUUAGCUAGUUGGUGAGGAAAAGGCUCACCAAGGCUACGAUCAGUAGCUGGUCUGAGAGGAUGACCAGCCACAUUGGGACUGAGACACGGCCCAAACUCCUACGGGAGGCAGCAGUGGGGAAUCUUGCGCAAUGGGCGAAAGCCUGACGCAGCCAUGCCGCGUGGAUGAUGAAGGUCUUAGGAUUGUAAAAUCCUUUCACCGGUGAAGAUAAUGACUGUAGCCGGAGAAGAAGCCCCGGCUGACUUCGUGCCAGCCGCCGCCGUAAGAC